AACAGGAUUAGAUACCCUGGUAGUCCAUGCCGUAAACGAUGUCUACUAGCCGUUGGGGCCUUUGAGGCUUUAGUGGCGCAGCUAACGCGAUAAGUAGACCGCCUGGGGAGUACGGUCGCAAGACUAAAACUCAAAUGAAUUGACGGGGGCCCGCACAAGCGGUGGAGCAUGUGGUUUAAUUCGAUGCAACGCGAAGAACCUUACCUGGUCUUGACAUAGUAAGAACUUUCCAGAGAUGGAUUGGUGCCUUCGGGAACUUACAUACAGGUGCUGCAUGGCUGUCGUCGGCUCGUGUCGUGAGAUGUUGGGUUAAGUCCCGCAACGAGCGCAACCCUUUUCCUUAUUUGCCAGCACUUCGGGUGGGAACUUUAAGGAUACUGCCAGUGACAAACUGGAGGAAGGCGGGGACGACGUCAAGUCAUCAUGGCCCUUACGACCAGGGCUACACACGUGCUACAAUGGUCGGUACAAAGGGUUGCUACCUAGCGAUAGGAUGCUAAUCUCAAAAAGCCGAUCGUAGUCCGGAUUGGAGUCUGCAACUCGACUCCAUGAAGUCGGAAUCGCUAGUAAUCGCGGAUCAGAAUGCCGCGGUGAAUACGUUCCCGGGCCUUGUACACACCGCCCGUCACACCAUGGGAGUUUGUUGCACCAGAAGUAGGUAGUCUAACCGUAAGGAGGACGCUUACCACGGUGUGGCCGAUGACUGGGGUGAAGUCGUAACAAGGUAACC
rnacentral:rRNA from 1 species